rnacentral:rRNA from 1 species
AUUGAACGCUGGCGGCGUGCCUAACACAUGCAAGUCGAGCGGUAACAGGUGUAGCAAUACAUGCUGACGAGCGGCGGACGGGUGAGUAACGCUUGGGAAUCUGCCUAUUAGUGGGGGACAACCCGGGGAAACUCGGGCUAAUACCGCAUACGCUCUACGGAGGAAAGCCGGGGACCGCAAGGCCUGGCGCUAAUAGAUGAGCCCAAGUCGGAUUAGCUAGUUGGUAGGGUAAUGGCCUACCAAGGCGACGAUCCGUAACUGGUCUGAGAGGACGACCAGUCACACCGGAACUGAGACACGGUCCGGACUCCUACGGGAGGCAGCAGUGGGGAAUAUUGGACAAUGGCGAAAGCCUGAUCCAGCGACGCCGCGUGGGUGAAGAAGGCCUGCGGGUUGUAAAGCCCUUUCAGUGGGGAAGAAAGCCUCGACCUAACACGUCGGGGUCUUGACGUAACCCAUAGAAGAAGCACCGGCUAACUCUGUGCCAGCAGCCGCGGUAAG